rnacentral:lncRNA from 1 species
GAGCGCGGGUCCGGGUGGUCUGCCGGGUGGCCGAGGCGGUACUCUGCACCUCCGACGCCACGCGAAACUCGGAUGCUCAGAAGGGCCGAGCGGCGACGGCUCGGUCUACACCGUGGAGCAGGGGGACCCAGAACCCCGGGGCGCCCUGGACAACUCGGCUUUGGGCGAGGACCUGUGCAUCUGCAAGCCGGGGCGCGCCGCCUGCUCCCCGCCCCCCGGGAUCGGGUAGGG